rnacentral:rRNA from 1 species
UACGUAGGGUGCAAGCGUUAAUCGGAAUUACUGGGCGUAAAGCGCGCGCAGGCGGUCCGCUAAGACAGAUGUGAAAUCCCCGGGCUUAACCUGGGAACUGCACUUGUGACUGGCGGGCUAGAGUAUGGCAGAGGGGGAUGGAAUUCCGCGUGUAGCAGUGAAAUGCGUAGAUAUGCGGAGGAACACCGAUGGCGAAGGCAAUCCCCUGGACCUGUACUGACGCUCAUGCACGAAAGCGUGGGGAGCAAACAGG